rnacentral:rRNA from 1 species
AUGCAAGACUACUUCACGGUGUCACCUACGUAUCCACCGCACCUCUUCCAGAGAAGGUAUCGAAUGCGCCGAUCCCUCUUCGUAAAAAUAGUAGAAGCUUGUGAGGCCAAUUCUCGAUUUUUCACCCAAAGGAGAAACGCUGCGGACUUGAAGGGUUUUUCGCAUAUACAAAAAAUCUUGGAAGCUAUGCGGGUGAUUGCAUAUGGCAUUCCGACUGACUAUGCCGACGAAUAUCUUCUUGAGUCAGUUCGUAGGUUCACCAAAGUGAUCAUCCAUGUCUUUGGUCAUGUAUAUCUUCGGGCACCCAACGAGGAAAACACGAAAAUGUUGAUGGAAACAAAUGAGAAGCGAGGUUGGCCGGGCAUGCUAGGGCAUAUAUUGCAUGCAUUGGAUUUGAAAAAACUGCCCGAAGGCAUGGCAUGGGCAGUAUUGUGGCAAGUCUUGUGA